rnacentral:rRNA from 1 species
AACGAACGCUGGCGGCAUGCCUAACACAUGCAAGUCGAACGAGCCCAUCGGGUCUUGUGGCGCACGGGUGCGUCACGCGUGGGAACCUUCCCUCAGGUUCGGAAUAACUCUCCGAAAGGGGUGCUAAUACCGGAUAAUGUCUUCGGACCAAAGAUUUAUCGCCUUUGGAUGGGCCCGCGUUGGAUUAGCUAGUUGUUAGGGUAAUAGCCUACCAAGGCGACGAUCCAUAGCUUGUUUGAGAGAAUGGUCAGCCACACUGAGACUAGGACCCGGCCCAGACUCUUACGCGAGGCGGGAGUGGGUGAUAUUGGACAGUGGGCGGAGGCCUGAAGCUGCUAUGACGGGUGAGUGCUGAAAGCAUUAGAGUUGUAAUGCUCUUUUAACCGGGAUGAUAAUGACAGUACCGGGAGAGUAAGCUCCGGCUAACUACGUG